rnacentral:lncRNA from 1 species
AUGGCGCUCUGAUAAAUGCAGAAAAAAUACAAAUAAAACGUUCUACCACAGCAAACGUUCUUUUUGAGAAGCAUAUUGAUUCUGAGUUCGGACAUGUAAAGUUUGUAUUUAAAAACGACUUCUGCCACGCUACAUUCAGUUGUUUCCGAACUCACUUCACUGGCUUGUAAAGAGGGAGGCUCUCGGCUGGUGCUAGCACUUGCGCAGAUCAAAUACACACCUUGAACGUCGAUUAUUAAUGACCUGAAAGAUGGAUCAGAAAACCAGGUGUUUUAAUCGGCGUAUGCUUACUUCGAUUUUCACCUUACGCCGAUUAAGAUACGCAGAGUAAAGUGUUUACAUGACUAAUGCAAUACUCUGCCUUCAGCUAUAAUCAGUUUAAUAUUGGAUUAUUAGUGUGCAUGUAAACGUACUCAUUGUGAUAUUGAGAUGAUAUCUGGCUGAUGGUCCAGAUGUCUGCUAGAUGGAGUGACUGAUGGUCCAGAUGUCUGCUAGAUGGAGUGACUGAUGGUCCAGAUGUCUGCUAGAUGGAUGACUGAUGGUCCAGGUGUCUGCUAGAUGGAGUGACUGAUCGUCCAGAUGUCUCUAUUGUAUGUAUUCUCUGAAAGGCAUCAAUGGUGGACAACAAUCUUUAAUCUUUCUCAUAUCGGUCGCACUUAUUAACUAGCGUAGUCGUCUGUUGAUCCCGAUCUGCUAUUUAGAUUUCAGGAAUGACGAUGUCUAGAUUCGCCUCGUGUGGCCUACUAGCAUUCUCACUUGGCAUAUUUAAAUCACUAUAUAUAUCUCCAAACAUCUGAACUCCUGUGCUGUGGAAGGAAGCGAGUCGAGUUGCGAGCGUCUCCCUCGGAGAAAUAUACUGCCCUCUACUGUCCACCACCAGGUAAAGCGAUGUAAUAAAAAAAAAACAGGAUUGAUAGCGCAGCUGUGACACUGACAGACAAUGCCUUGAUACUUUGCCAACAGCUGGAAACGGAAGCUGUCAUACAGUGUGAUGCAAUAGAUUUCAUGUGUGUUCCAAACGGCUACCUGUUCCCUACAUAGUGCACUACUUUUGACCAAAGACAAGUGCGCUAUAUAUGAAUUAGGGUGCCAUUUGGGACCCAUAAAUAGAUUCCAGUGAUUGGACUGUGUGUGUGCGCAUUGUGCUGGAAGUCUGGCAGACAGGGAGACAGGCAGUCAGUAACUCUGUUGUUCUCCCUCGCUCAGGGCACAAGACUCUGAUACAGAGAGCACCAAAUCAAUGAUACUCAUUUUAAUAGCUCUCCUUUGUUUGACAAGUAGAGAACUGAACAUUUCAAGUGACUUGGUGAACUCGAGUCAACUCAAGUCGUGUUCAGAGGUGAUAGAAAAAUUUGGUUUUU